rnacentral:miRNA from 1 species
UCAUUUAUCUGUUGGGAAGCUA